UUUGCUGGAAAAGAAAACAGCAGAAGCCAAGGUAAAUAACAUCUUUGUGUGGCGUGUUGCAGCUGUCACAGCCGCCAGCAGACAGCCGACUCCCUCACCAGUAAACACCGCGGCUUAGGUGUUGCCCACCGGGCACCGGAAGGCGGCCCCCUUCUCGCUCUCCAGUGAAUGUUCCUAAAACAACUGCGGGGUCCAAGAGCACAGGGAGAACAGCGCCCCUGACGCAGGCUGCGCACCCGCCCGGAGGAGGCAGUGCGUCAGUCCUGAGGUCACCGCCACCCGCUCCCGGGGGACGGCCGCCUGGGCAGGUGAGGAGGCGACCACCUCCCAGACGCCUGCCGGAGCUGCGGCGCACCGACUCCCUGCUUCUCCGAGCGGCGAGCGCCACCUGGAGGCUCCCUCGAGAUCUGCAUUUAGGAGGCGACGGGUCCUUUCAUCGUUUUAUUCAUUAAACAUUUAUCGAGGCCUGGAGCGAUGGUUCAAGCCUGUAAUCCCAGCACUUUGGGAGACCGAGACGGGCGGAUCACUUGAGGUCAGGAGUUGGAGACCAGCCUGGCCAACAUGGCGAAACCCCAUCUCUACUAAAAAUACAAAAAUUAGCCGGGCACGGUGGCGCACACCUGUAAUCCCAGCUACUCAUGAUGAGGCUGAGGCACAAGAAUCGCUUGAACCCGAGAGGCGGAAGUUGCAGUGAGCGGAGAUGGAGCCACUGUGUGUUAGGCUCUGGCGACGUGGGGAGAAAUAAAGAUAAUGUCUUGUUUCC
rnacentral:lncRNA from 10 species